rnacentral:rRNA from 1 species
UUGAAUGGAUAAGAGAAUCGGAAUUUAGAAAAAAACUUUUUUCAAGUUAAAAAUUGAAAUUUUUUUAAUUUGUGCAGAAACAAUUAUUAAUAUUAAGGACAAGAAGACCCUAUGAAUUUAUAAAUUUUAUUUAAUAUGUAACUACUAUUGAAAAAAUUUUAGCUGGGGCGGCGGAAAAAUAUUUAAAACUUUUUUAAAAUAAAAUGACCCAUUAUUAAUGAUUAUAUGUUAAAUACUCUAGGGAUAACAGCGUUAUAUUUUUUGAUAGAUCAUAUUGACAAAAAAGUUUGCGACCUCGAUGUUGGAUUAGGAUACUUUUUUAAUGCAGAUAUUAAAAAAAGAAGUUUGUUCCCAACUUUUAAUUUCCU